rnacentral:rRNA from 1 species
AACGAACGCUGGCGGCAGGCCUAACACAUGCAAGUCGAACGAGAAACCAGAGCUUGCUCUGGCGGAAAGUGGCAGACGGGUGAGUAACGCGUGGGAAUUUACCCAGUGGUACGGAAUAACUCAGGGAAACUUGUGCUAAUACCGUAUACGCCCUUCGGGGGAAAGAUUUAUCGCCAUUGGAUGAGCCCGCGUUAGAUUAGUUUGUUGGUGGGGUAAUGGCCUACCAAGACUACGAUCUAUAGCUGGUCUGAGAGGAUGAUCAGCCACACUGGGACUGAGACACGGCCCAGACUCCUACGGGAGGCAGCAGUGGGGAAUAUUGCACAAUGGGCGCAAGCCUGAUGCAGCCAUGCCGCGUGAGUGAAGAAGGCCUUAGGGUUGUAAAACUCUUUCACCGGUGAAGACAAUGACGGUAGCCGGAGAAGAAGCCCCGGCUAACUCCGUG